rnacentral:lncRNA from 1 species
UCCGCGCGAUCCGACUGUGAUUUGAGAAAUGGCGGCGACGAAGUACAAGUAUCUGGUAGAAGUGGAGAAGGCCAAGGAGGCCAAGGACGGCAAGCCGUCGCAGGGACCUGUGUACCGGAGCCUGUUCGCCAAGGAUGGCUUUCCACCUGCGAUUUCCGGAAUGGACAGUUGCUGGGAUGUUUUCCGCGGGUCAGUAGAGAAAAAUCCCAGAAACCCCAUGCUUGGUCGUCGGGAGAUUGUGAAUGGGAAGGCUGGUAAAUAUGUGUGGCUAACUUAUAAGGAAGUGUAUGACAUGGUAGUCAAAGUUGGAAAUGCCAUGCGCGGUUGUGAUGUGGUUGAAGGAGACAAGUGUGGUAUAUAUGGUGUCAACUGCCCGGAAUGGAUUAUGAGCAUGGAGGCUUGCAAUGCUCAUGGACUCUAUUGCGUGCCUUUAUAUGACACUCUAGGUGCUGGUGCUGUGGAAUUUAUCAUAUGCCAUGCUGAAGUUUCAAUUGCUUUUGCUGAAGAAAAGAAGAUACCUGAGCUGUUGAAAAUAUUUCCUGGUGCGGCAAAAUAUCUGAAAACACUUGUGAGCUUUGGCAAUGUUACACCUGAACAAGAGGAAACACUUGGGCAGUAUGGAGUGACGUUAUAUUCAUGGAGUGAAUUUCUGCAAUUGGGAGAGAAUAAAGAGUAUGACCUUCCAGUAAAAAAAAAAGUGAUGUCUGCACUAAAAUGUAUACUAGUGGAACAACUGGUGACCCCAAGGGAGUACUGAUAUCCAAUGAAAGCAUCAUUACUCUUCUGGCUGGGGUGAAGCUUUUGCUAGAGAGUGUAAAUGAACAGCUCAGUGAGGAGGAUGUAUAUCUUUCAUUUCUUCCCCUGGCACAUAUCUUCGAUCGGGUGAUUGAGGAGUUAUUUAUCUGGACUGGCGCCCAA